rnacentral:lncRNA from 7 species
GCGACGUCAAUAUCAGUUUUCCAGUUCCAGAUAUAUAUACAGAGACAGGAAUGCAGCGCGGGCGCACAGCUGAGCCUGAGCAGCGCGCAGAACAAGCGCAUGCAUGCGCCACUGCCGGCACACUAAUUAUUUCUGCCCACAUAUAUGGGUGCUGCUGGGACUGGGAGGCAGUGUCCACCAGGCAUGAGUCCAAGCUCGUGCACUGCACACGUGAGUUGACAGUUGACACCAGGCUCAUGAGCAUGAAGCUUCCAACACACACACACAUAUACACUCUGCCACCUCUCUCUCUCUCUCUCUCUCUCUCUCUCUCUA